rnacentral:rRNA from 1 species
UACGUAGGGUGCGAGCGUUGUCCGGAAUUAUUGGGCGUAAAGAGCUCGUAGGCGGCUUGUCACGUCGGGGUGUAGCAAGGCCCGGGCUCCACCCGAGCCUGCGGUCGAUACGGGCAGACUAGAGUGCUGUAGGGGAGACUGGAAUUCCUGGUGUAGCGGUGAAAUGCGCAGAUAUCAGGAGGAACACCAAUUGCGAAGGCAGCUCGCUGGGACGGUACUGACGCUAAGACGCGAAAAGCGUGGGGAGCGAACGGG